GUAGAAAGAAUUUUAAGAAACCUGUUCUCAAACCAUCUUUUUCUUCAACACUCGAUAAUACAAUGAAAUUUUGCAUAGUGUUGCUCAGUCUCACGGACUGAACACAAUAUGCUGCCACAAGUAUUUGCCAAAAUGGAUCAAAACCGCCCGAGUACCACUAAACACAAGAAGAUCCCAAGUAUAUCGCAUCUUAGGUUCGCGGAAGCGAGAAAAACUUCGAUUCCCAGCGUAUUUAUCUCUGGGAACGAAUAAAUAUUUUUUGCACGAAGGCAAAGUUUGCAGCUUGUCUGCAAACCACUUGACGUUUCUGCCUCGAUGCAACCGCAAAUACGCGGCGAACUCGGUGAACGUGUUUCCGGGCAAAUGCGGAACUUGUGCCGCUCGAAGAUCAUAUUGGAACCUUUGUACAGUGCGAUAUACCGGAGAAGUCUGUGCUAACAGACGACUAUUUGAAUUAUUCGGAAUAUGUUUCGAGCACUUACCUUAUCGAGACGAGUAUCAUGGCGAAUAUCAGGUACUUUCCAAGCAGCGGCACGACCAGCGACGUAGGUGGAAUGAUCUCGACGAC
rnacentral:misc_RNA from 1 species